GCUGCUGGGCCCUCCCGGCCUUCAGAGCCCCAGCCUCACAGGUCUCUUGCCCUKCUCUGGUGGCCGCCCACAAGCAGACCAUGCAGUCCGAGAAGUUCCACUUAGCUAUGCUGCCACGUGACCAAAUGCCGGUAGGACAGAGGUGCCUGAGGUGGGAGCUCUGCAGCCUGGGUGGUUUACACUGAUAGAUUUUUGAAUAUUGAAUGAGACCUGCAUCCCCAUUGGUCAGAUUUCUACAAGAGUAGUCCUGUCUGCAGAAUGCCAGACCUCUCCCUGCAACAUUAAGAAGUGCACUGGCUGGGCGAGAGGUCGGAGUCGGUGGGCAGACAGCUGCCCUCAGGACACAGACUUUCAAGCCGGGACUCUAUCAGAGGAGCCUCUCACAUUGGUGGUUGAGAAAGAGCUGGAAUGAAGUCAUCCCUCUUCUGGUUUUGUCUUCAUCCCACAGUUUGCAAAGCUGCAGAGAGCAUCGUUGACAAUGCCUUGUGUUCUACAGCAUGCAUGCUCAGGAAGGAGCACCUGGCUGCAGAGAUUACUCAACGCGCCCGCAGAGCCCCUCAAUGCAGUGGACUGGAGGACACGGACAGGGACCUGGGCUGCUAUGUCCGGGCCGUGGGAGCCUUGCUGCCUGGACAGUGUGCCCUGAGGGGACCCCGGAUGGCAGUCAGGCACUGGCCUGGCUCAGGCCUGGCUCCGCUCUUCAGUGGUCAGCGUGAGCCCUGCCAUCCUCCUUUCUUUGUCUGUGGAUGCGGGGUCAUUGCAGUCGGCCUCAACGCCCCCUUAGCUCUUCCAUUCUCAAAUUCCAUUUACCUUUUGAUCCGGUUCCAUCCUUUUAAGUGCUGUCACCUUUGCUUACUUGUAUAAACACGAGAGAAAAUCAUACUUGUUUACUAACUUAAAUUUAAACAAUGAAUAACAAGAAAAACGUGAAAGAGAACCCAUCACCUCUGAGCCUACAGGUUGCGAGAAMCCCCCUGGCUCCCCCUGAGCGCCCCAGGCCCGGCCAGCAGCCUGGGCUCCCGGAGUCUCCGGCCCUGGAGGGGGCGGGCAAUGCUGCUCUGCCGCGCCCUCUGGUGGCCGCUCUCCGUCAUGGUCACCAGCCGCAGGGUUGUGCCUUGGGCUGCCCAGGCGAAAGAUUUAAUUUACUCCGACAAAUAUUCCAUCUGGUGYUUCGGGUAGAGUCCCGGAAAAUGCCAUCUCUCUUUUCUGGAAGUCUCUCUCUUAGUGGCCAGUGAUGAAGAUGCCAGAAAAAAGUAGCCCAUUCAUCAUAUUUAUGUUGUGUGAGAUGGUACCUCAGAGGGUGAAGUCAAUGAGAAGAAUGAGUAAUUGAAACAAGCAUUUUUGUUCCCUUGGCAGAAAGUCAGUCAUUAGCCAUAUACCUAUUUUACAAAGGGAGAUUAGAUAAAUUAGAGAUUAAAGAAAGUGGAACAGAUGUUUUUCCUCUGAUAAGCAUCAUUCUAUCAAAAAAGCAAAGAAACAACAACAAAAAAGCAAACCUCGGGAGACUUGGACUUGGUGCAGAAAACGUGGAGGCAGAAAUCCCAGGUUGGGGGAGACGUGGCCUGCACAGGGCCACACCUGGACCGUGUGGACGCUCUCAUCGUGCCAUGACUCAUCGCAGCGCAUCCUUCCAUGUCGUGAGGGUGCCAGGCGCCCAUGAGUUGUGUGGCGCCAGGCGCCUCGUGGACCUUGUCUUUACCCUCGCAGUAGCAGCCAUUGAAGGGCGGCCAUGUUGUC